AACGAACGCUGGCGGCAGGCUUAACACAUGCAAGUCGAACGCAUCCUUCGGGGUGAGUGGCAGACGGGUGAGUAACGCGUGGGAACGUGCCCUUCAGCUCGGGAUAACCCAGGGAAACUUGGGCUAAUACCGGAUACGUGCGAGAGCAGAAAGAUUUAUCGCUGAAGGAUCGGCCCGCGUCUGAUUAGCUAGUUGGUGGGGUAAUGGCCCACCAAGGCGACGAUCAGUAGCUGGUCUGAGAGGAUGAUCAGCCACAUUGGGACUGAGACACGGCCCAAACUCCUACGGGAGGCAGCAGUGGGGAAUAUUGGACAAUGGGCGCAAGCCUGAUCCAGCCAUGCCGCGUGAGUGAUGAAGGCCUUAGGGUUGUAAAGCUCUUUCGUCCGGGACGAUAAUGACGGUACCGGAAGAAGAAGCCCCGGCUAACUUCGUGUCAGCAGCCGCCGUAA
rnacentral:rRNA from 1 species